GCCAGAGGCAGGUCAUCCACCUCUGGCCACGUCGCCGUUGCCUACUUUCAGCCUCCGGGUCCCCCAGUUGGCGUCCGAGCUUCGUCCAUCUGCAGGUUUCAUCGGGGGGAGGGGGGAGAACACGCCGUUCGGGGGCACCAAUCCCUACUAGGCGCUCUUGCCCCCACCCAGCCGGAAACUCUCGUCGGCGUACCACGAUGUCGCCCACAGGUGGAACGGUUGUCCCCCAAACCGACUUCCCCACCCGAACAUCCUCCUGGUGGCCCGUACUGCUUCCUCCUGGUUUGG
rnacentral:misc_RNA from 1 species